GGAAUAUUGGUCAAUGGAGGGAACUCUGAACCAGCCAUGCCGCGUGAGGGAGGAAGGCCCUAUGGGUUGUAAACCUCUUUUGCCCCGGGGCAAUAAGGCUCAUGCGUGAGCCGAUGAGAGUACGGGGCGAAUAAGCAUCGGCUAACUCCGUGCCAGCAGCCGCGGUAAUACGGAGGAUGCAAGCGUUAUCCGGAUUUAUUGGGUUUAAAGGGUGCGCAGGCGGCGCGUUAAGUCAGCGGUGAAAUGUUCCGGCUCAACCGGGGAGCUGCCGUUGAUACUGGCGUGCUGGAGUGCGGACGGCGCCGGCGGAAUGAGUGGUGUAGCGGUGAAAUGCAUAGAUAUCACUCAGAACACCGAUCGCGAAGGCAGCUGGCGAGGCCGCAACUGACGCUGAGGCACGAAAGCGUGGGGAUCAAACA
rnacentral:rRNA from 1 species